rnacentral:rRNA from 1 species
AUCUUUUAGUUUAGUGGCGGACGGGUGAGUAACGCGUGGACAACCUGCCUUCACAGGGGGAGUAGCAGCUGGAAACGGCUGGUAAUACCGCAUACGCUCAAUACACCGCAUGGUGUAAUGAGGAAAGAUUUAUCGGUGAAAGAUGGAUCCGCGUCUGAUUAGCCAGUUGGCGGGGUAACGGCCCACCAAAGCGACGAUCAGUAGCCGGCCUGAGAGGGCGGACGGCCACAUUGGGACUGAGACACGGCCCAGACUCCUACGGGAGGCAGCAGUGGGGGAUAUUGCACAAUGGGCGCAAGCCUGAUGCAGCGACGCCGCCGUGAGUGAAGAAGUAUUUCGGUAUGUAAAGCUCUAUCAGCAGGGAAGAAAGACCCGCAAGGGGGAUGACGGUACCUGACUAAGAAGCCCCGGCUAACUACGUGCCAGCAGCUGC